AGUGCGCGCGCAGUUUAAAGGUCGUGACAAGCAUUGGACUGCCGUGAAUAACAAACAACAGACGAUCAACCCAAACCGGACUAUCAUCCAGCUGUAAUGUUAUCUUUGUGUUAUUAUAACGCACUGUGCGUAAAAAGGCGCCUCACCGUGUAGUUUGUUUCCAGUCAGCCGGUGCUGGCGGCUCCCUCGCUGUGAUAAAUACAGACAGAUGGCGACUCAUGUCUCUUAAUACUGUAAAUGGAUUAACCUCAUGUAAUCCUGUGUAAACUACUCUAGUAACUGUGAAAACACUGACGGGAGUGAGUACCAACGCUGGGUCAAGCAUCACUGCCGGUAUUGUCAUCCUCUGUGAAAAGGCGUCCCUGCAACAGAGGCUCUCCUGGGCUCAGAGGCUGCCCUCCCCUGUUUUCCCAUGGUGUAUGCACAGGAUGGAAGUGAUGGUUUUAGGCAGUGCUGGAUGCUCUGGAUGCUAAAACCUCCCUGCUUCCCUCCCUCCCUCCAUCCCUCCCUUCCUUCCUCCCUCUCUUUCUUCCUCUGCUGCGGUGGCUGCGGUCAGCCAUGUGACAGGAUGCUUCUCCGCUGCUGCUGCUGGUGCUGCUGCUGCUGCAUCGCUCUCCUCGCUGAGGUUGAAAUAAAACAAGUGAAACUAAU